rnacentral:rRNA from 1 species
GUGGGGAAUAUUGGACAAUGGGCGCAAGCCUGAUCCAGCAAUGCCGCGUGGGUGAAGAAGGUCUUCGGAUCGUAAAGCCCUUUCGACAGGGACGAUGAUGACGGUACCUGUAGAAGAAGCCCCGGCUAACUUCGUGCCAGCAGCCGCGGUAAUACGAAGGGGGCUAGCGUUACUCGGAAUUACUGGGCGUAAAGGGCGCGUAGGCGGCUCUGGUAGUCAGGCGUGAAAUUCCUGGGCUUAACCUGGGGACUGCGCUUGAUACUGCAGGGCUUGAGGCCGAGAGAGGGUGGUGGAAUUCCCAGUGGAGGGGUGAAAUUCGUAGAUAUUGGGAAGAACACCGGUGGCGGAGGCGACCACCUGGCUCGGUUCUGACGCUGAGGCGCGACAGCGUGGGGAGCAAACAGGAUUAGAAACCCGGGUAGUCC